rnacentral:rRNA from 1 species
GAUGAACGCUAGCUACAGGCUUAACACAUGCAAGUCGAGGGGCAUCAGGAAGAAAGCUUGCUUUCUUUGCUGGCGACCGGCGCACGGGUGAGUAACACGUAUCCAACCUGCCCUUUACUCGGGGAUAGCCUUUCGAAAGAAAGAUUAAUACCCGAUGGCAUAAUGAUUCCGCAUGGUUUCAUUAUUAAAGGAUUCCGGUAAAGGAUGGGGAUGCGUUCCAUUAGGUUGUUGGUGAGGUAACGGCUCACCAAGCCUUCGAUGGAUAGGGGUUCUGAGAGGAAGGUCCCCCACAUUGGAACUGAGACACGGUCCAAACUCCUACGGGAGGCAGCAGUGAGGAAUAUUGGUCAAUGGGCGCUAGCCUGAACCAGCCAAGUAGCGUGAAGGAUGAAGGCUCUAUGGGUCGUAAACUUCUUUUAUAUAAGAAUAAAGUGCAGUAUGUAUACUGUUUUGUAUGUAUUAUAUGAAUAAGGAUCGGCUAACUCCGUGCCAGCAGCCGCGGUAAUACGGAGGAUCCGAGCGUUAUCCGGAUUUAUUGGGUUUAAAGGGAGCGUAGGUGGACUGGUAAGUCAGUUGUGAAAGUUUGCGGCUCAACCGUAAAAUUGCAGUUGAUACUGUCAGUCUUGAGUACAGUAGAGGUGGGCGGAAUUCGUGGUGUAGCGGUGAAAUGCUUAGAUAUCACGAAGAACUCCGAUUGCGAAGGCAGCUCACUGGACUGCAACUGACACUGAUGCUCGAAAGUGUGGGUAUCAAACAGGAUUAGAUACCCUGGUAGUCCACACAGUAAACGAUGAAUACUCGCUGUUUGCGAUAUACAGUAAGCGGCCAAGCGAAAGCAUUAAGUAUUCCACCUGGGGAGUACGCCGGCAACGGUGAAACUCAAAGGAAUUGACGGGGGCCCGCACAAGCGGAGGAACAUGUGGUUUAAUUCGAUGAUACGCGAGGAACCUUACCCGGGCUUAAAUUGCAGUGGAAUGAUGUGGAAACAUGUCAGUGAGCAAUCACCGCUGUGAAGGUGCUGCAUGGUUGUCGUCAGCUCGUGCCGUGAGGUGUCGGCUUAAGUGCCAUAACGAGCGCAACCCUUAUCUUCAGUUACUAACAGGUUAUGCUGAGGACUCUGGAGAGACUGCCGUCGUAAGAUGUGAGGAAGGUGGGGAUGACGUCAAAUCAGCACGGCCCUUACGUCCGGGGCUACACACGUGUUACAAUGGGGGGUACAGAAGGCAGCUAGCGGGUGACCGUAUGCUAAUCCCAAAAUCCUCUCUCAGUUCGGAUCGAAGUCUGCAACCCGACUUCGUGAAGCUGGAUUCGCUAGUAAUCGCGCAUCAGCCACGGCGCGGUGAAUACGUUCCCGGGCCUUGUAC